AAAGCUUCACGUGAUUGGCUAGCUAUAUUUAGCAAUGAUCGCUCAUAUAAAUUCUUGUCCGGGUCGUUCGCUAUUCAUUUCGAACAAAGUAGGCAAAGAAAGAAGAGGGAAAAUAUGGUGUAUCAGCCGCUCAAACUUGUGCUAGUUGGGGACGCCGGCAUUGGAAAAUCGACACUUAUAGCGAAAUGUCACGAAACUCACCCAACAUCCGCCGAAUGUGGCGGUUUCUUCGCAAAGACUUUUGACCGCUCAGCGGAAUACAAACCGACUGCACUAAAGGCUUACAGCACCAACGUAUAUUCCAACCCGACUGGGGUGGUUUACAGUGUUUAUCAAGCUAAUAUAGUGGACACUGGAGGCUCAACCGUUCUAGAUUACGUGAGACCGCUUGCAUAUAUUCAUGCCGACCUUUUUAUUUUAUGUUUCGACGUUACGAAUCGUGCUUCUUUCGAGAAUGUCGCAUCAAAAUGGUUCCCUGAAAUUCGGUUGUAUGAAAAGAAGGUACCUUUGAUGCUUGUGGGACUAAAACCGAAUCCAGUGGAAAAAAGAAAAGUUUCAAAAGCUGAUGCAGAAAGAAUGUUAACUCGACUCAAAGGAAAUGGCUCCUACUUUGAAGUUGAUUCGUUUAACCCAAAAGAAGAUGAGGCAUCCAAGCUAUUUGAGGCUGCUGUUGAGCAAGCAUUCCAGCAUCGUCAAACAUUGAGUGACAAACAUUUAAAAAAUAGGGAGAAAGAAAGCUCCAAAGACCCAAGCUUUGAUAUCACAAAUCUGAGUGAGCCAAGUCCUCCUCCAAAGACUAAAGUUGCUGAUUCAACCCUGAGAGAGGACUGGAAAUCUACUCAAGAAAGACAUGAGUCUGCCGACGUCACUAUAAGGUUUAAAAAUAAUGAUUCAGUCAUGACAGCACAUUCAUUUGUUCUAGCUGUGACUUCAGAGAGUUUCAAGGAAUUAUUAUGCUCAUUAUCUUCCUUUGGGGGAGAAAAAGCUGUAGAACAUCUAUCUCCCUUCAGGGAAGCGAAAACUAAGGCUAGAGACACUAUUGGGAGCAAGGUUUUAUAUGACAUUACUUUCGAAGAAAGCAUCAAGCCAGAAGCUAUGAAUAGUGUAUUGGCAUGGAUGUACACAGGCCAUCUAGACUUGAAAUGUAAAGACCUCCAAUCCAUUGGUGAGGCAGCCUCAACUCUGAAAAUUAAGCCAUUGGCUUUGUUGUGUGAACAAUCUUUGAAAAAGAAACCACCACAUCCUCCACCACCACCACCCCUUCCUCCCACAGGAAGCAGACCAUCAACUCGUAGAAUUGGCAUCUCAUCAGCUCUUCAUCCAAGAGUUUCACCAUAUAGAAACCUCAUCCCUCCCAUGAAUAGGGACCCACCACCCAAUAUUGGGAUAUUCAUCCCUCCAAACUUUUGGCCCAUUAUAGGUAGAAACCUGCCACCCAAUAGAAUUCCUAUCCCACCACCCCUCCCUCCCAUAGGCUGGAGAUCACAGAAUAGAGUACCAACCCCACCACCCCUCCCUCCCAUAGGCUGGAGAUCACAGAAUAAAGUACCAGCCCCACCACCCCUCCCUCCCAUAGGCUGGAGAUCACAGAAUAGAGUACCCACCCCACCACCCCUCCCUCCCAUAGGCUGGAGAUCACAGAAUAGAGUACCAGCCCCACCACCCCUCCCUCCCAUAGGCUGGAGAUCACAGAAUAGAGUACCAGCCCCACCACCCCUCCCUCCUAUAGGCUGGAGAUCACAGAAUAGAGUACCCACCCCGCCACCCCUCCCUCCCAUAGGCUGGAGAUCACAGAAUAUGGUACCAGCCCCACCACCCCUCCCUCCCAUAGGCUGGAGAUCACAGAAUAGAGUACCAGCCCCACCACCUCUCCCUCCCAUAGGCUGGAGACCACAUAGAGUACCCAUUCAACCACCCCUACUAUGCAUUAGAGGAAACCCUCCCCGCUUGCCACGCCUUCCUUCAAUAGUUAACAGGCGACCAGAAGCUGUGGUUAUUCACAAUUAUUUGAGGGAAGCCUUUUUGCAGCGUUCUGGUUUUCCACCACCAACACGCAUGCAAGCUCCCAAACCCAGCAAAAAGAACACUAACACGUGCACAAAUUUGGAUCCUGAAGCAGCUCACCGGUCAGCAUGGGUAAAAAGCACCAAAGAUUUAUUCUUGAACAAGACACUUCUGUCGGACAUUACCUUUGUGGUGGAGGGCGUGUCUGUACCUGCGCACAGGGUGGUACUCAUAACCCGGUCAGCAGUGAUGGCAGCAAUGCUCGACGGGAAAUUUAGAGAGAACGACCUGGCCAUGAUCGAACUUCCUGAUGUACCAUUGGCGCCUUUCUUGAUCCUGUUGGAAUACAUAUACACCGACAGCUGUAACCUGAAGGACACAAACGCCAGGGAGGUGCUUGUUCUAGCUGACCGAUUCUGUCUAGAUGGGUUGGCGGCCCGAUGUGAGCAGUUUAUCAUCGAUAGCAUGCCAGGCCUCGGGGUUAUCUGUGACAACGAGGAGUUUGUCGAGUCCAUUCUCGAUGUCUUUAUGUUUGCAAAAGCAUUCAACUCACAGUACCUUACGAUGUGGUGUUUGCAUGUCAUAGCGACCAACUACACCAUCUUCGAGAAGACGCCCGAGUACAACACUAUCUUGAAGGAAAAUCGCGAAUAUAUCGAGGCGAAUCGCUGGCUUCCACGGUCAUAUUUGAAAAUUUUGAAUAGUUACAGGGCAAGGGGGACCAUCGUGAUACCAGAGAGGAUACAGAGACACGGCCCCAAGCACUGUGGCUGUACGAUACUGUGAAUAUCUGAAGCAGUUUGUUUACCUUGUAGGCAUUUUGCUUGACCAGUGCUUAGACCACCUUGUAGGCAGUUAGCUUGAGCAGUGCUUAGACCACCUUGUAGGCAUUUUGCUUGACCAGUGCUUAGACCACCUUGUAGGCAGUUAGCUUGAGCAGUGCUUAGACCACCUUGUAGGUAGUUUGCUUACCAGGGUUCGGCCCCUGUUAAGUCGUAGGAUAAGGAAGAUGCAACAAAAUAACACUACUGUUUUUUUAUAGUUUAUACAAACGUGGAUUUUCUACACUCACAAGGUUUAGCAUUUUUUUUUUUAAUCUUUUCGCGCGCUUUCAUACAAAUGGUACUCUGUACAGCGCAAGUCCGUGCAAGUUUGCAAAUCUUUUUAUAUCAGUGUGGCAUAAAAGAGAUUAAAAUUUACGAAACAGAAUUAAAAAAAAAUUCUCAGUGUUUUUAAAAAAUUCUUAAAGAGAUCUACUUGUUUUCCAUGUGAACUACACCCGCUCUUAAAACCUCGUAUUUAAGAAUUUAGGCUUAAUGGCCUCUUUGUAUUAGGGUAUUUCAACAGCUUCUCAAUAAAAAUGUUUACCAAAUUUUCAUUACACAAUCAAUGUAUGCGUAAUGUUUCUACACCAUGAAACGCGUUAUUAUAUACUUUUUCUUAGAUAUAAAUCACUUUAAAAAUCAUUUCUUUUAACCAAACUUUAUUAAAAUUAAAAUACUCAACUUAAAUAUUUAACUGUAAUCAAUGUAUCAUGGCAUUAUAUUGUUUAUUACAAUAAAUCUCUGUAAAGGAAAGGCCUAUACAGGUGUCUCAUUAUGAAUUUCAUGUCUAAUUCUUGUACAUAAAUUUUUAUACUUUAAGGAUUAAAAUGAUGAUUCAAGGUGUUAAA